rnacentral:rRNA from 1 species
GACGAACGCUGGCGGCGUGCUUAACACAUGCAAGUCGAGCGGAGCGGCGAACGGGUGAGUAACGCGUGAGUAACUGCCCCCCUCUCUGGGAUAACAGUUGGAAACGGGUGCUAAUACCGGAAAGUGGGGGAUGACUCGCGUCCUAUCAGCUAGUUGGUGGGGUAGUGGCCUACCAAUGGGACGACGGGUGGCCGGCCUGGGAGAGCGACCGGCCACAUUGGGCUGAGGUACGGACCAGACUGCUACGGGAGGCAGCAGUGGGGAAUAUUGCACAAUGGGGGAACCCCUGAUGCAGCAGCGCCGCGUGCGGGAUGACGGCUUUCGGGUUGUAAACCGCUUUCAGCCAUGACGCGGUAGUGGCAGAAGAAGCACCGGCUAACUACGUGCCAGCCGCCGCGGUAAUUC